rnacentral:rRNA from 1 species
UACAGAGGGUGCAAGUGUUGUUCGGAAUCAUUGGGCGUAAAGGGCGCGUAGGUGGUCAGGUCAGUCAGAUGUGAAAGCCCUGGGCUUAACCCAGGAACUGCAUUUGAUACUGCCUGACUUGAGUUCAGUAGAGGGUAGUGGAAUUCCCGGUGUAGAGGUGAAAUUCGUAGAGAUCGGGAGGAACACCAGUGGCGAGAGCGGCUACCUGGGCUGACACUGACACUGAGGCGCGAGAGCGUGGGGAGCAAAC